rnacentral:rRNA from 1 species
GACGAACGCUGGCGGCGUGCUUAACACAUGCAAGUCGAACGAUGAACCCGGAGCUUGCUCCGGCGGAUUAGUGGCGAACGGGUGAGUAACACGUGAGUAACCUGACCUUGACUCUGGGAUAACUGCUAGAAAUGGUAGCUAAUACCGGAUACGACCCUCGGUGGCAUCACCAGGGGGUGGAAAGAAUUUCGGUCAAGGAUGGACUCGCGGCCUAUCAGCUAGUUGGGGGGGUAACGGCUCACCAAGGCGACGACGGGUAGCCGGCCUGAGAGGUUGACCGGACACACUGGAACGGAGACACGGCCCAGACGCCUACGGGAGGCAGCAGUGGGGAAUAUUGCACAAUGGGCGCAAGCCUGAUGCAGCAACGCCGCGUGAGGGAUGACGGCCUUCGGGUUGUAAACGUCUUUUAGUAGGGAAGAAGCGAAAGUGACGGUACCUGCAGAAAAAGCACCGGCUAACUACGUGCCAGCCGCCGCGGUAA